rnacentral:rRNA from 1 species
AUUGAACGCUGGCGGCAUGCCUUACACAUGCAAGUCGAACGGCAGCGGGGGAGAAGCUUGCUUUUCCUGCCGGCGAGUGGCGAACGGGUGAGUAAUACAUCGGAACGUGCCCUGUAGUGGGGGAUAACUAGUCGAAAGAUUAGCUAAUACCGCAUACGACCUGAGGGUGAAAGUGGGGGACCGCAAGGCCUCAUGCUAUAGGAGCGGCCGAUGUCUGAUUAGCUAGUUGGUGGGGUAAAGGCCUACCAAGGCGACGAUCAGUAGCUGGUCUGAGAGGACGAUCAGCCACGCUGGGACUGAGACACGGCCCAGACUCCUACGGGGGGCAGCAGUGGGGAAUUUUGGACAAUGGGCGAAAGCCUGAUCCAGCAAUGCCGCGUGUGUGAAGAAGGCCUUCGGGUUGUAAAGCACUUUUGUCCGGAAAGAAAUGGCUCUGGUUAAUACCUGGGGUCGAUGACGGUACCGGAAGAAUAAGGACCGGCUAACUACGUGCCAGCAGCCGCCGCCGUAA